rnacentral:misc_RNA from 1 species
CUGAGUUGCAAAACUCCCAACCAUUGUGAACCUACCUAUCGUUGCUUUCGGCGGGCGACUGGCCCACAGCGGCCAUCGCGCCCACCCCCCCGUCGGGGGGGAGGCAGCCCGCCGGAGGCGUCCAAACUAUAGCAUACAUUGGCCUCUCUGAGUAGCUUAUAAAAUAAGUCA